rnacentral:sRNA from 1 species
UUCACGUUCAAUUCUAAGAUUCCCGAGUGUAUUGCAAGCCCCCGGCAUGCUCGACACACCCAAGGCUUCCUAAAUAACUCGGCCAAAUCGAUUGGCCUUUGGCUCGUGGAAAACAUCCACUGUUCAAGCAUCUCUUCUUUCUGAUUAACUUCGUUUGCAUUGUUAAUCUCCAUGAAAGGAGCUGGCAAAGGUUUCUGGUUCUCUGUCAUUUUUAUCCGGACGGAAAAAAAGAAAAAAAAUGACCAGAAGGAUGACGCUUAUGGUCGAUAAUAAUGAAACAAUGGGUGGUGUGGGAACAGCGAAAUGGAAGCUGGCGGUAGUAAGAGUACUGUGUAUGACAAUUGCUUCAACUGUGG